rnacentral:rRNA from 1 species
UUUAUAUCCUGGGCUACACACACGCUACAAUGGUCUGUACAACAGGUUGCCAAACCGCGAGGUGGAGCCAAAUCCCCUAAAACAGGGCCUCAGUUCAGAUUGCAGGCUGCAACCCGCCUGCAUGAAGCCGGAGUUGCUAGUAACCACAGGUCAGCUAUACUGCGGUGAAUACGUUCCCGGGUCUU